GUGAGGUUUACCAACUGCAGAAAACACAAUUGAGUUCAAGACCCCAAUUAAAUGUCAGCCUUAUGUGUAAGGGGAAUGCAUGCAAUACAAUCAUUACCAAAAAAAGUUAAAAAAAAAAAUUUACCCUUGAGAGCUAAAAGUGUUAAGGACUUGGUGAAAAUUACUGAAUUUAAAAAUGUUAAUGCACAAGGGCUUCUUUCAUGGUACCAAGACCUCAUGAGACUCUUGUUUUGUCUUAAUUUGUCUGCUUUACGGACUACCAAAUUAUCUCCUCCCCAAUCACUGAAGCCUAUCCUUUAACUGGGGAAACGAGCCACUGCUGUGUUACAAUGUGGAUGCCAGUGACUGGACAGAGAUGUGAGGAAGGCCUGCGUGUUGGCUACAUUGUCUUCAGAUUUGCCUCCAGAGUAGGCUCCAGUCUAUGCUGUGGGCCGGAUCUGCCACGAUGCUGGGGCUACGUUGAAUGCAGCCGGAGUGAAUUCAGUUCCAGGUGCUACACUGGAUAACUUGAGGUGAACAGAAGCCACAGUAAGAAGAUCAACGUGGUAGCCAAAAUUUGACUUCUGGACCAUUUAAUAGAGAAUGAAAAGGAUCUCUCUUUAUUUAUACAAAGUGAUGUACCCCCGACAUCAAGAAAUAAUGUUGCAAUAUAGAAUAUUGCCUAAAACUGCACAUUUUAUUGAGUAUUGCUUUUAGAAAUUAACAGGAUAUAGAUAACCACUCAGUGUCCUUUUCUGAAAAAGCUGUGACUUCAGUAAAUUUCAUGAUCAAAUUGUUUCCGGUAUAUAUGCUAUGGUGUCUGAACAUCCAUUUUUCUGAAAA